CAAAUCCAGCACUGCAAGUCUCUGUUCUUCCUUCUCUGAAAUCUAUGUGUUCAUUCUCUGUGUCCAUCCCCUCUUCCUCCCUGCCCCCCCCCAGCAAAAAAAUGGCCUGUGAUAAGGGUAUCCCUCAUCAGAGAGCCAUGCCAACCACUGCUGCUGCCCGCAAGGCAGCAUAUGAACAGUGAGUGGUGGAGUGGGAAGUGGUCUGGGCCCAUCAUCAUGAGUGGCAUCCCAAUGCUUGCUGUGCUGUGUGGGAGGUGCGCAACCCCCGCCCUUGUAUGAAAAAAGUGGAUAAGCAGAAGGCUAUCUGUGAGAUCCAAUAUUAUCAGAAGUCUGAGGAUCUCAUUUUCCCCAAGACUGUGUUUGCUCAUCUUGUUCAGAAGAUUGAUGAAGAGAAGUAUUGCUUUCAGUGUUCUGCCCUCAAUGCUCUUCAAGUCACAGUCAAGACCACAUUGGUCACACUUUUUGAGUGUGGCCUUAAGGCCAUGAUUCAUCAUGGACAGAUGACUCUCACUGUGAGGGAUAUUAGAUUGGUGGUGGAGAUUGCCCAAGGAUUGGGUAGCAAUUUUUUUGAUGAUUAUAGG
rnacentral:sRNA from 1 species